UUCCCGUGAUUUUACGCUUUCAGUUUAAAUUUAAAACAUAUUCGAGGUGGUACUAAAUUUUGUCUCUCCAAUUGACUCGAUUGACCGCUACGUUCUUGGUCGCUUAACUGGGCCGCGAUCCAGUUGGGCCUUGCCCCGUCUCUCACCGUCGAAUAAACGGUUCUCGCUAAUUUAACCCGCAGUUAUUUUUCUUCGUCAACCCUCUGUGCACGUUUGGCUUUAGAUCGAGCGGCGGCGCUCCCGAAGCCCCGAUCCAAUCGGGACAUGUAGGACGACGGCGGCAGGGCUCUCGAAAGUGGGGAACGACAGGGAGGCGGGAACGGCGGGAAGCGGCGGACGUCGCGGCGAGGCGGAUCAGGUCAGGAUCCAGCGCGGCGGCCGGCGCUCCAUGGCCGUGGCGUCUCGGUCCGGCGGUGGCUCCGGUCGGCUGAUCCAGGCCAACUCUUGAUGGAUUUCCAAUGUGCUGCUGGCCUCCGAUUUUUUUGUCGUGUAGCCGCUCCCCAUCUCAGCGUGUGCUAUCCAUGGAAGCCGGCUCCUCCACUCAGGCCCUCCUCUGCAACGCUGACGAGGACGCUACUUCGUCUGAACCGAUCUUCACGACCACGUGCAGAUGUCAUACAGGGGCAGAGAACAAUGGUCUUUUGGGAAUGCCUGUUAACCUUUUGGAGCUGCCAGCCUUCGCAUCUGCGGAGCCACCCUUUCGCUCAAAGGAGUACACCCAUGCCACGGAGGCCGGAUCGGGCAACAGGAAUUCGAGGAGGACGACAGCACCAGGAUCUCGGGGAGGUGAGCUCGAGGGCAUGACCCAUCUCCUCCAUGUCCUCACCCCGAACUCCAGCGCCCCAACUCCGACACCGCCUGCGAGUCAAAUCUCUGCGCGCCGCUGGCGAAAACUCCCCCUGCAUCUCGCGCCGCCACGACUAACCAUCUGUGCGCUGAACCAACUCGCCACCGGUAGCGCCCCCCUAUCGACGCGACUCCCUCGAGCUCCCUCCCGGUCGUGUCCCUCCAGAUAAGCAGCAACAUCGUCCUCCUGCCGCUGCAGCGGCGCAACGACAUGAGGUGUGGAGGGGAAGGGAUAUACAGGUGGAGGAGGGCGGUGGCGGCAAAGGCGGGGGAGGUUGAUGAUACCUGAAAUUCUUCGGAGUUCUUUCGAACCGAAAGAUCAGGAAAUAAGCUUGUGGUGACUUUGUGAGGUUUUCGCAUUGGACCGUUUGGAACUUCGGAUUGGCAGAGAGCUAGAGACCCCGGUGCUCUGAAGGAUGUUGAAUUUGAGAACAUAAUUUAUUGUUGUUAAGUAAUAUUUGCUUCUUUCAUAUGGAAAAGUUAGCGUUGUUGGGAGCUCAAUGUUGCAGUGGGCCUUGACAGUGCCAAGUUGGGAGCUGGCGAGGUAGAUGUCGUCCUUGACAAGGGCCGUGACCUCAUCUCCUUUGGCCCCAAGUCCGACUACCACCACAACCAGACAUGCUCCUCCAUAGGCCUUGGAUUACUGUCGGCUAUGAGAUGAAGUUCGGAGAAAGGAGCUAAAACUUGACUCACCAGAGAAUGGACAGAACUAGAGCAGGGCCAUUGUCAGCUUCUGUGUUGGUAGGGCGAUUCUUAGGCGCACCAAGAUACUGGUCCUGGACGAAGCCACUGCUUCGGUGGACAGUGCAACCGAUAACCUGAUCCAGAACACACUACAACAUCAUUUUUCCGGGUCAAUUGUCAUCACGACCGUGCAUCGAAUCACCUCGGUCCUUCUUAACGAUAUAGUCUAGAUUCUUGACAAUGGACUGGCUGUGGAAUCUGGAGCAACCAUGGCCAGCCAAGUUGUUGGAACACAAAUUUUCUCUGUUCUCAAAGCUUGUGGUGGAAUCCAUGAUGAGGUUGAUACACACUUGAGGCAGCAUCACAAAUGUUAUCAAAAUGAAAUUCUACCUUAUCCAAAUUGUGGUAUGCAAAUAUUAGAAAGGUACUAUCGACGCGUUUGGUUCGCCCUCAGGUUACUUCUUCGGUUAAGGUAUCGGGAAGCUCCGUUUUACCUUUUUGUUUUAGGAAUACGUGAUCUGUUUGGUCUGGCCGUCCGACUCCUGUUUUCCUAAUCAGCCGCAUGUGAGCGUUUUCAAUUUUGUGAACCCUGUAUCGGAAAGCACUGCUACGGAAUACGUGGUGUGCGUGUACCAAACGCCGGAUAUUGUUUCAGAAUGCGCUGCAAUCGGGAACCGUUGCGAUUCUCCCGAACCAAAUGCGUGCCUCUCUGAUUCAUUGGAUGUGGUAUAGAAGCUGGCAUGUAAUAUGUGAAAUUUGUAUAGCUAGGCGCACCACCGGGCAUCGAAGGAUGUGCUGGCUCUUGACUUAUUUCUGCAGGCGGCGGCACACCAUGAACUAACUGGAGGAGCCAAACUGGAUUUGCAGGCUUCUGCAAAGUGCUAGCACCUAGAGAUGAUCUGAAUUUUCCUCUUGUAAAUGUCAUGAGGCAUGAGCCACAACCUCUUCAGAGAACAUUAAAACAAAACAUUGAUCCCCAUGUGGGUACACAAACAUUGUCCUUUUGAUUUAUUUUUCCAGUAGAUGAUUUUGGACCAUGUUUUUUUUACUCCAUGCCCUUUUGCUGUACUAAUUUUUUGGGCGAUGCCACAUAAGUUUAUUGCUAUACUGAAGUGUUGAUAUUAGUAUAUGUAGUCCUUUUCCUUGAGCGGCUGCUCCCGUCCAUGGCCUCCUUGAUCUGAGGAUCUGCUCCUUUCCCACGUUUGCCCACGAGGACAAGGAGGCACAGUGGUGGCCACUAGCAGCGCCAGAAGGAGCUUCCAUUAAGGCAGGAUGGUGUGCAAGUUCCUCUUUUUUUCUAAGCUCAGGUUCCUCUUUCUUACAUGAGUUAUUCUUAAAUAUUGAUUUGAUUUGUAGGAUUUACAUUAGUUGGCGUAAUCUGAUUAACUUGAAUUGUUUUAUGGUGACCAUUAUAAUUUUUGUGAGUUUUUGUUGUUCGCCCGUUGCAACGCACGGGCACUUUUACUAGUAUAUAAUAUAUAUAUAUAUAUAUUUUUUAUAAUAAAGCACGGAUUGACUCCGUGGAUUCACCGUCACAAUACGUUUUCUUCUCAUGUCAUAAUACGCUUUUACAAUUUAUAUGGACAAAAUCGUAAUAUAAACGAGGUGGUACUAAUUUGGGUCUGCACGUCCUUAGUCCCUAAUUUUUGUCUCCUGCUUUUUUGGGUAAUCAUCCCGCACUCCGCAAACUUUCAUCUGUUAUUAAUUAUUAAGUGAAAAAAGGAUUCUAGAGGCCCUCUCUCUCCCGCACGAGGACGCGAGACACCCCGGAACUAGGGUUCCUUUCACCGCCGCGCCCCCAUGGCACCGCUUACGGCAGCCCUCGCCACCAUCUUCCGUCCCCAAUCACCGUUGUAGUCCCCCGCCGCCGGUAAAUAGCCUUGACGGAGCCCUAGCCACUGGCUCCCUAGAGCACGGCGCCCGUCGAUAGCCACGAUGGAGCGCCGGUGGAUGUCCUGAUUGUGGGUGAGGACCCCGCCGAGGCGACUAACCUCGACACCGCGCGGCACCCCCAGGCCCCAGCAUCUCUGCCAUCGCCUCGCGUUGCCGUGCGCAAGGAUACCACCACCUCUCCCUGACAUCUCUGUCUCCACUCCCCCGAGGUGUGCUGCUCGCCGGCUCCACACCUCUAUCCUCUCCCAUCCAGUGUUGCUCACGACCUGCUACAGAGAUCAAACUUUGCGUCUCCCGUGCAGGCCCUCCUCGCGGACAGCCUCCAACCCACACAAGCUCCCCUAUUCUGGCUCUGCAGCCUCCCAUGGCUGAGCAACAAAGAGAUCGAGAGGGGAAUACUCAGUUGAUUUUUCAGGGAUUGGAGAUUGAUCUUAUUUGUUUGGUUGUCCGUGGAUUCAAAGAUGAAGUAGAUAGUAAAGGCCAAGGCAACGGGCAUCAGACAUGUUAAUUUUUCUGAACUCUACUAUGGAACAUGUGUUUCUGAAUUUCUGCCAAAGUGUCAACUGUGGAUCGUACAUAGUAGUGCUCUUUUGAUAGUAGGUGGUCUGAAUUUCUGUCAAAGUGAUAAUGUGGAUCGUACAUAGUAGUGCUCUUUUGAUAGUAGGUGGUCGAAGUGUCGAAACACUCGAACAAGCACAAACUGAUCCUAGCAUCGAAGUGCUUUGUUUUUCCUUUGCAUCAAACUAUUUUUGUGUGCUCCAGAGUUCAGUGGGACAUAUGAUUGUCGUGCUCCAGCCCGUUUAAUCUCAGGUUUGAUCUUUUUUCAGCUCUUAUAUGUAUAGUACUUGGUUAUACAAACAUGGAACUGAUGGAUAUGUUGGAUUAAUGGAUGCAUAAUUACACACCUGAUGAUGAAUAGAUGGAAUUAAUGGAUGCAUACAUAUAUGAUUAGACCCUUAAUAAGCUUAGAUGUACUAUGGUUUAUUGCAUUCUCAGUAGGUUGAUAAUUACUGUAUAUGAAAACAAAAUUGCGCGUUCUUAUUUUGUUGGAAUAUUCCCACAAGGCCACACCGGCAAGAUAAUUAGUUUCUUUUUUAUGAAACCAAUAGCUAAUCUAUAUAUUUGCAGGUGAUUCAGAUGAGCAUCUCCCGACUUUAUGCAACAAUCAAAUUUAUUUGAAGUACCAAUAUUUGCAAUAAACAUUCUUAAUCCAUAUAAGUUACGGGAUUUAUAAAUCUUUUCACCACUUCAUAUGUUUGGAGGGGAACAUCUAAGAAACCGAUGGAUCACGUAUAUGUUUUAUGGCAUAAAUACAAUAUAAUUAAUGUGAAAACCACUGAUGUGUCUUAGGAUCACAUGAUCUGUUUAAAAUAAUAUAUAAUUUGCACUCAGCGGAAAAAACUCCCAAAAAAGUUCGCAUGUAAAUGACUGAAUAUUAUAUCCAUAUUUCAGUUUUGUCUCAUUGACAAAAGUAAUCAUUGCGAUGCACCUGAAGAUAUAUACGAUUAUCAUGGUAAGUAUUUCCGUUCCGUGCAGGGUCUUGCGAGCGGGGAAGGAGAGCACCUGUGAGGUAAGAAGGCACCAAUGCAACACGCUGUGAAACCUCGGCAUCACAGACGGGAUUCUGUCCAAGGAUGCAGAUUUUGAAGUGUCAAGUAUGAUGAUUUGGUUGGAUGCCUUCUGCCUCUGAGCUUCACUGAACACUUGCGUCCACCACCAACCUGCACAUCCGGAAGAAGAGAAGCAAGCUUUCUCCCUCAACCACAACCCGCAUCCAUGAUCCCAGUGCAAAGCUCCUGGUCAACAAUGCCUCACAUGAUGUGUCAUGGAGCCGCCACCCACUGAUGCCUACCACCUCGAUCCACUCAGUUAUGCCCCUCAAUGGAUCUGGGGAGAGAACCCAUGACUAUGAGCAUUGAGAAGAUUAGGUGCGGCAAUUAGGUGUGUGGUCACAAAAAUGAUUGUUUCAUGCUUCUCUUCGCCCAUCUGUAAUGUGUACUCAUCCAGAGCAAUCUAUAAUUUUUUUGGCAUAGUCUGUAGCUUUGAAUUAACUCCGUAGCCUCCAUGUUCUUAAAUAAUUUAAGUGGGUUAAUUAAGGGACUGCAUUGCAAUU